rnacentral:lncRNA from 1 species
GACCUUUUGGAGUUUGCAGGUUGGCUAUUCUGCAUUUCUUCACCAUGAAUUGUAACCAUUUAUUACCUUAUAGAGUUUUACUGCUUGUUGCUUUUAGCUUUGGGAAAACUUCAAAAACCCCCCUUAUGGUUUCACUUUUUCUCACUUUAGUACCUUGUGGUUUAAAGUGUAUCAAGUUAGUACCCUGUGGUUUCGCACUUUCUCACUUUAGUACCCUGUGGUUUAAAGUGUAUCAAGUUAGUACCCUGUGGUUUCGCACUUUCUCACUUUAGUACCCUGUGGUUUAAAGUGUAUCAAGUUAGUACCCUGUGGUUUCGCACUUUCUCACUUUAGUACCUUGUGGUUUAAUAUUUCAUUCGGAG